rnacentral:rRNA from 1 species
AGUCAAGUAAUUAAGUGCAUGUGGUGGAUGCCUUGGCAGUCAGAGGCGAUGAAAGACGUGAUAGCCUGCGAAAAGCUCCGGGGAGGCGGCAAAUAUCCUUUGAUCCGGAGAUGUCUGAAUGGGGGAACCCACCUACUUUAAGGUAGGUAUUGCAACAUGAAUACAUAGUGUUGCAAGGCGAACGAGGGGAAGUGAAACAUCUCAGUACCCUUAGGAAAAGAAAUCAAUUGAGAUUCCCUCAGUAGCGGCGAGCGAACGGGGAUCAGCCCAUUAAGUUAUGUGUGUUUUAGUGGAACGCUCUGGGAAGUGCGAACGUAGAGGGUGAUAUUCCCGUACACGAAAGGGCACACAUAAUGAUGACGAGUAGGGCGAGGCACGUGAAACCUUGUCUGAAUAUGGGGGGACCAUCCUCCAAGGCUAAAUACUCCUGACUGACCGAUAGUGAACCAGUACCGUGAGGGAAAGGCGAAUAGAACCCCUGUGAGGGGAGUGAAAUAGAUCCUGAAACCGCAUGCAUACAAGCAGUGGGAGCACCUUCGUGGUGUGACUGCGUACCUUUUGUAUAAUGGGACAGCGACUUAUAUUCAGUAGCGAGGUUACCGUAUAGGGGAGCCGUAGAGAAAUCGAGUCUUAAUAGGGCGUUUAGUUGCUGGGUAUAGACCCGAAACCAGGCGAUCUAUCCAUGAGCAGGUUGAAGGUUGGGUAACACUAACUGGAGGACCGAACCCACUGUCGUUGAAAAGCAAGGGGAUGACUUGUGGAUAGGGGUGAAAGGCUAAUCAAGCCUGGUGAUAGCUGGUUCUCCCCGAAAGCUAUUUAGGUAGCGCCUCGGACGAAUACCAUAGGGGUUAGAGCACUGUUUCGGCUAGGGGGUCAUCCCGACUUA